GUGGAUCUUGCUCCCCAGGUCCCCACCACCCAGUAGAGGGCCUGCCACAUAAUGAGAAGAGCGACUUCCAGAGGAAGGAAGAACUUACUCAAGAUCAAUGGUGGGUCCUAACAUAGUGUCUUCCAGAGAUGCAGCCUGCCCCCAAAACCUCCCCUUCUCCUGCCUGCAUCCCUAGAGAAGCAGGAGCCACAGGAACCACCCCAAAAGGCCAGUGGACAGGAGAUUAAUCGAGCUAAUGUUGGGGAGUCCCUGGCACAACGCCGAACCAGUCAUCACCACCACCAAAUGAGGCUGUGUUGUCAUGGUAUUAGUUAGGGGAUGCUGCCCUCUGGAGGCCAAAAGGAGGAACAGCAGGUGAAGGGAGGCCGACCCGCCGCCGGGGCCAGACUGGAACCCUGGUUCCCGGCGUGUGCCCAUUGUCCAGAUGCGAGAGAGCGACGGGCGCGGGUCACUCGGUAUGAGCCUCCACCCACUGGCAGAGGCGACGGGCGUAGCGAGCGGGG